GACGAACGCUGGCGGCGUGCUUAACACAUGCAAGUCGAACGGAGCGAAUGAAAGCUUGCUUUUAUGAGCUUAGUGGCAAACGGGUGAGUAACACGUAGACAACCUGCCGAUCAGAUGGGGACAACAUUCCGAAAGGAAUGCUAAUACCGAAUGGCGUGUAGGGGAGGCAUCUUCCCUACAUGAAAGAUGGCCUCUAUAUAUAAGCUAUCACUGAUCGAUGGGUCUGCGUCUGAUUAGCUAGUAGGUAAGGUAACGGCUUACCUAGGCGACGAUCAGUAGCCGGUCUGAGAGGAUGAACGGCCACAUUGGGACUGAGACACGGCCCAGACUCCUACGGGAGGCAGCAGUGGGGAAUCUUCCGCAAUGGGCGCAAGCCUGACGGAGCAACGCCGCGUGAGUGAAGAAGGUCUUCGGAUCGUAAAGCUCUGUUGAAGGGGACGAACGAUCGAGGGGCGAACAG
rnacentral:rRNA from 1 species